UACGUAGGGUGCAAGCGUUAAUCGGAAUUACUGGGCGUAAAGCGUGCGCAGGCGGUUGUGUAAGACAGAUGUGAAAUCCCCGGGCUCAACCUGGGAACUGCAUUUGUGACUGCACGGCUGGAGUGCGGCAGAGGGGGAUGGAAUUCCGCGUGUAGCAGUGAAAUGCGUAGAUAUGCGGAGGAACACCGAUGGCGAAGGCAGCCCCCUAGGCCAACACUGACGCUCAGGCACGAAAGCGUGGGGAGCAAACAGG
rnacentral:rRNA from 1 species